CAGUCGCCGCGGUAAUACGAGGGGGGCAAGCGUUGUUCGGAAUUAUUGGGCGUAAAGGGUGCGUAGGCGGCUUGACAAGUCUUGUGUGAAAUCUCUGGGCUCAACCCAGAGUCUGCAGGCGAAACUGUCGGGCUUGAGUAUGGGAGAGGUGAGUGGAAUUUCCGGUGUAGCGGUGAAAUGCGUAGAUAUCGGAAGGAACACCUGUGGCGAAAGCGGCUCACUGGACCAUAACUGACGCUGAUGCACGAAAGCUAGGGGAGCAAACAGGAUUAGAUACCCCGGUAGUCCCUGUCUCUUAUAC
rnacentral:rRNA from 1 species